GAAAUGCGAUAAGUAGUGUGAAUUGCAGAAUUCAGUGAAUCAUCGAAUCUUUGAACGCACAUUGCGCCCUUUGGUAUUCCUUAGGGCAUGCCUGUUCGAGCGUCAUUUAAACCCUUCAAGCUCAGCUUGGUGUUGGGUGACUGUCCGCCGCCCCCGGGCGUGGACUCGCCCCAAAUCCAUUGGCGGCCGGUACGUAGGCUUCGAGCGCAGCAGAAACGCGAACUCGAGCCCGCGGUGUCGGCUCCCAGAAGCCAUCUCUUUUAUUUUGACCUCGGAUCGGGUAGGGAUACCCGCUGAACUUAAGC
rnacentral:misc_RNA from 1 species